UACGAAGGGGGCUAGCGUUGCCCGGAAUCACUGGGCGUAAAGGGUGCGUAGGCGGGUCUUUAAGUCAGGGGUGAAAUCCUGGAGCUCAACUCCAGAACUGCCUUUGAUACUGAGGAUCUUGAGUUCGGGAGAGGUGAGUGGAACUGCGAGUGUAGAGGUGAAAUUCGUAGAUAUUCGCAAGAACACCAGUGGCGAAGGCGGCUCACUGGUCCGGUACUGACGCUGAGGUGCGAAAGCGUGGGGAGCAAACAGG
rnacentral:rRNA from 1 species